rnacentral:rRNA from 1 species
UAGGGAAUAUUGGGCAAUGGUCGAGAGACUGACCCAGCCAUGCCGCGUGCAGGAUGAAGGCUUUCUGAGUCGUAAACUGCUUUUACCAGGGAAGAAAAAAGGGGAUGCGUCCUCUACUGACGGUACCUGGUGAAUAAGCACCGGCUAACUCCGUGCCAGCAGCCGCGGUAAUACGGAGGGUGCAAGCGUUGUCCGGAUUUAUUGGGUUUAAAGGGUGCGUAGGCGGCUUUUUAAGUCCGGGGUGAAAGCCCGUUGCUCAACAACGGAACUGCCCCGGAAACUGGAGAGCUUGAGUACAGACGAGGGUGGCGGAAUGGACGGUGUAGCGGUGAAAUGCAUAGAUACCGUCCAGAACCCCGAUUGCGAAGGCAGCUGCCUAGACUGUAACUGACGCUGAGGCACGAAAGCGUGGGGAGCGAACA